GCCCAGCUCGCCCCCUACCAAACGCAAAACGGCGCCGUUUUAACCAAUGAAAAACCCUAACUCUAGCCGUACACUAUAAAACCAUCCUUAUGCCUUCAGCGACCCAUUCGGCCUUCUCUUUGUUUUAGUUUUUCUUCUUUCUUUUCUUCCCCCUUGAUGCGCCGCUGCUUCCUUCUUGUUCUUCUUUGGUUUUUCUUUUCUCUUCAUUCUCUUGUGCCGGUUGCUUCUCUUCUUAUGGUACAUGCCAUUAAGUUCCAUGCUCGGAUCUCCUCUCUUCGUCGUCUCUUGGUGUUCUCACUAUUUUGAAUCUAAACUUGUGAAACUCUCUUUGGAUUUCCACUUUUCUUUCCCCAAAUCCGUGGGGUCUUGCUUGGUUUUUUUGGCCCUUUGUCAUGCCUUGUUUCCUCCCCCAGCCGUGAGCCUCCAAGCUCCGUUUCCUCUCUUGUUUUCCUUUAGUAUUUUGGUGAUUUAUUUUGUGGUUUGCUUA